AAACUUUCAACAACGGAUCUCUUGGUUCUGGCAUCGAUGAAGAACGCAGCGAAAUGCGAUAAGUAAUGUGAAUUGCAGAAUUCCGUGAAUCAUCGAAUCUUUGAACGCACAUUGCGCCCCUCGGUAUCCCGGGGGGCAUGCCUGUCCGAGCGUCAUUA
rnacentral:rRNA from 1 species